rnacentral:rRNA from 1 species
UGCUAGGAGCCGACGAGUGGCGAACGGGUGAGUAACGCGUAGGAAUCUGCCUUGCAGUGGGGGAUAACACUAGGAAACUGGUGCUAAUACCGCAUACGCCCUUAGGGGGAAAGAUUUAUUGCUGCAAGAUGAGCCUGCGUCAGAUUAGCUAGUUGGUGGGGUAAUGGCCUACCAAGGCGAAGAUCUGUAGCUGUUCUGAGAGGAAGAUCAGCCACACUGGGACUGAGACACGGCCCAGACUCCUACGGGAGGCAGCAGUGGGGAAUAUUGGACAAUGGGCGCAAGCCUGAUCCAGCAAUGCCACGUGUGUGAAGAAGGCCUGCGGGUUGUAAAGCACUUUCGGGAGGGAAGAAGGACACGUAAGUGUAUUGACGUUACCUCCAGAAGAAGCACCGGCUAACUCUGUGCCAGCAGCCGCGGUAAUACAGAGGGUGCGAGCGUUAAUCGGAAUUACUGGGCGUAAAGCGCGCGUAGGCGGUUAUUUAAGUUGGACGUGAAAUCCCUGAGCUUAACUUAGGAAUUGCGUCCAAAACUGGAUGACUGGAGUGGAGUAGAGGUGAGUGGAAUUUCCGGAGUAGCGGUGAAAUGCGUAGAUAUCGGAAGGAACACCAGUGG